CGAGGGCGACUGGCAAUAGUCGCAGAAACUCCUGUACUCAAAAAUAAUAAUAAAAGUUUCUUUAAACAUCAUCAAGAGUAUUAUUCAUUAGAGGAAGGAUUUUUAAAAAGGGUGUUGGCCGCAACUCAAGGUUUCUCAAACAGACAGAAACCAUAACUUGCGCGGCAUUGAGAACGAGUUUUUGACGGUUCUAAAGCAACAAACACUGCCUGCGGUUACCUUAUCGAACGGCAGCACCAUCACAGGUGGUACGCUCCCUUCACACGCAUUUACGGCCGAGGGUUUUGCUAUCCGCAAAGCUCUAGAAAAUAUCAUUCAUCAAAAGGUAAAAUUCGUUAUAUGUUCCGACAGUUUUUCCUGCUUAAAUGCAGUUCAAACAUACGCAACAGCUCAACAAUAAUAGUCAAGAUCCGUGGCCUUUGCAUUAAAUAUAGGAAAAAAUUGCUUUGCUCUGAGUGCCUGACCAUGUCGGCAUUCCUGGUAAUGUACAACUGUUAAUGCAACGAAAUACUUUGGAUUGGCACCUACUUUUCAAUAUGAGACAUAUGAUUAUAAUGACCUGAAGAAAAUGUUACGACACACUCCCACCAAGAGAGACUCACAGAAUGGAAAAAUUACCCGACUCGCAAUGAAUUUCUCUACACCAGCAAUAUCACUCGUCCACACAAGCAAUCAUUUUCACACAUUUAACGAUAGGGCAUGC